rnacentral:lncRNA from 13 species
AUGACUGGAAUAGAGAAGGAGACUGUAAUGACUGGAAUAGAGAAGCAGGAGAAGGAGACGGUAAUGACUGGAAUAGAGGAGAAGGAGACGGUAAUGACUGGAAUAGAGAAGCAGGAGAAGGAGACGGUAAUGACUGGAAUAGAGGAGAAGGAGACGGUAAUGACUGAAAUAGAGAAGCAGGAGAAGGAGACGGUAAUGACUGGAAUAAAGAAGGAGACUGUAAUGACUGGAAUAGAGAAGGAGAUGGUAAUGAUUGGAAUAGAGAAGCAGGAGAAGGAGACGGUAAUGACUGAAAUAGAGAAGCAGGAGAAGGAGACGGUAAUGACUGGAAUAAAGAAGGAGACUGUAAUGACUGAAAUAAAGAAGCAGGAGAAGGAGACGGUAAUGACUGGAAAAGAGAAGCAGGAAAAGGAGAUGUAAUGACUGGAAUAGAGAAGAAGGAAAAUGAGGCUCAUUCUGUUGAACAACCCAGGGUAUGAAACUAUGUCAUCUUGUAACUGUACAUCAAACAUAGUGAUCAUAAACGUUGACACUGUAUAUCACAUGAGUUUUAUGAUAUGAAAUGUGAAGUACACAUUUGGACACAUGGAUGUUUGGCUUGCUUGUAUGACAUAGCGGUAUUUAUUAUAAACCUCAACGGCUCAUCUUUCAAAAUACAUAUAGUUCUCUAAAUUGACAGCAUUUCCCUCACUCAGACAACAAACCUAUUGCAGAAGUUGCCCAAUUAGCAGGAGAGAUGGGGGCAACAACCCACACAGCAUUGUGAAUCUGUGACGUCAAGUGUAGCAUGUUACUGUACAGCCAAUACAUUCCAAUUAAGGCGUUCAUCAGGGCACAGGUUGGGGAGGACAGGCUUGUGGUAAUGACUGGAGCGGAGUAAGUGGACUGGUAUCAAAUACAUCAAACACAUGGUUUCCAUGUGUUUGAGGACAUUCCAUUUCUGCCAAUCACCUAUAACAGCAUUGGUUUAUUUCCAAAUGGCAGAUAAUAAGAUUACAUUGAGUACAUUCAGUAUGUGGAAAUAUUUCCUAACUUCUAUAACACAGUAUGUUAAAAGCAUGCCUUCUGAAUCCUUCACAACCUAAUUUAGGUCAUAUUCAGUAACCUAAAUCACAAUGAAUUUACAAUCUCGUUCCAUACUAAUAUGAUAUUAACAUUUCAUGAUUCAUCUGCUUAAAUUCUGGUAAUUUCCCCCCAAAUCCUGGUUGGAAGAUUUCAGGAAUCACCAGAGAAUAAGCAGAACAGAAGUAUAGACCUACUGAUAAAGAUCAUUUGUAAGUAGGCCUAUAAAAAAUGUAAGUUGACAUAACAAUUAUGUAGAUUAACAAAACAAAGAAAUUGUUGAUGAAGCUAGCUUCGCAAAGUUCCUUCACAAUGGAGUGUGCCGGCUCAUAAGUCUGGUUCUUCUGAUAACCCACUGGAGUUAGGCUCAUUGACUUGAUGACGGUGAUGCCAGAUGAUCGAUGCCAGAUGAUGCAAUUGGCCCUGAUGUUGUCCUCAGCCUCUCUGUAGCCUUCCUGUGAUGCCAGGUGAUGGUGAUGGAGUUGGCUUGCUGGCCCUGAUGUCGUUCUCAGAUCAGCCUCUCUGUAGCCUUCCUGUGAUGCCAGGUGAUGGUGAUGGAGUUGGCUUGCUGGCCCUGAUGUUGUUCCCAGAUCAGCCUCUCUGUAGCCUUCCUGUGAUGCCAGGUGAUGGUGAUGGAGUUGGCUUGCUGGCCCUGAUGUCGUUCUCAGAUCAGCCUCUCUGUAGCUGGGACUUAGUACUCCUCCACCACUAACGUGUAUCACCCACUUGGGCGAUGCCUCUGCUGCUGCUAUGGUGCAAAAACAGCCCACCAUACAUCCCUAUAGAGCAGUAGUUAUCCUCACUACGACAUCGCUGCCAUGUCCACAAUGCAGUCAGGUCUCAUUGAUCAAGAAGCCAGUGCUGAGUGAGAUGCAUCUUUUACACAUUAGCCUGCAGCUAGCUAGCUAUCGAUCUAUCUAUCUAUAUAGCUGUGUUAUAUUGGCCAUAUACCACAAACCCUGAGGUGCCUUAUUGCUAUUAUAAACUGCUUACCAAUGUAAUUAGGCAGUGAAAAUAAAUGUUUUGUCAUACAAGUGGUAUACGGUCUGAUAUACCACAGCUAUCAGCCAAUCAGCAUUCAGGGUUUGAUUCACCCAGUUUAUUGAAAAUAUGAUACCCCUUCAAAUGAUACAAUAUCUUGCAAUAAUUCAAUACUAAAUAACUGAUUAUUUUGCAUUAACAUAUUCAUAGUGAUGCAUAUCUGACAACAGCAUAACUCUAAACACUUUUGGUAAGUGAAAGUUUAAAAGUGUUGUUACGCUUGCAGGUAAGCCCUGUAUCAGAGUACAUUCCUUUAGAAGAGAGACUGAAAACUACGACCUUAUCACAAAAAUAAUGCUGUGAGAUAAUCUAAACAAAUACAGCUUCAGAAGCACAAGGGUGGUGUCCUUGAGGAAAAGUUAGCAUAGCGUUCUUAUUUUUUCAUAUAUUUCUCCUUUCUCCUCCCUCUCUCUUGUCUGGCCUUCCCUCCUCCCUCUCUCCUGUCUGGCCUUCCCUCCUCCCCCUCUCCUGUCUGGCUUUCCCUCCUCCCCCUCUCCUGUCUGGCUUUCCCUCCUCCCUCUCUCUUGUCUGGCCUUCCCUCCUCCCCCUCUCCUGUCUGGCCUUCCCUCCUCCCUNNNNNNNNNNUAUAAAAAAUGUAAGUUGACAUAACAAUUAUGUAGAUUAACAAAACAAAGAAAUUGUUGAUGAAGCUAGCUUCGCAAAGUUCCUUCACAAUGGAGUGUGCCGGCUCAUAAGUCUGGUUCUUCUGAUAACCCACUGGAGUUAGGCUCAUUGACUUGAUGACGGUGAUGCCAGAUGAUCGAUGCCAGAUGAUGCAAUUGGCCCUGAUGUUGUCCUCAGCCUCUCUGUAGCCUUCCUGUGAUGCCAGGUGAUGGUGAUGGAGUUGGCUUGCUGGCCCUGAUGUNNNNNNNNNNCAGAUCAGCCUCUCUGUAGCCUUCCUGUGAUGCCAGGUGAUGGUGAUGGAGUUGGCUUGCUGGCCCUGAUGUCGUUCUCAGAUCAGCCUCUCUGUAGCUGGGACUUAGUACUCCUCCACCACUAACGUGUAUCACCCACUUGGGCGAUGCCUCUGCUGCUGCUAUGGUGCAAAAACAGCCCACCAUACAUCCCUAUAGAGCAGUAGUUAUCCUCACUACGACAUCGCUGCCAUGUCCACAAUGCAGUCAGGUCUCAUUGAU